UGAUUUUGGAAACUGUGGUGCUGGAGAAGACUCUUGAGAGUCCGUUGGGCAGCAAGGAGAUCCAACCAGUCCAUCCUAAAGGAAAUCAGUCCUGAAUAUUCACUGGAAGGACUGAUGCUGAAGCUGAAACUCCAAUACUUUGGCCACCUUAUGCGAACAACCGACUCAUUGGAAAAGACCCUGAUGUUGGGAAAGAUUGAAGGCGGGAGAAGGGGACGACAGAGGAUGAGAUGGUUGGAUGGCAUCACCGACUAGCAAGCUCAGGGUGUUGGUGAUGGACAGGGAAGCCUGGCGUGCUGCAGUCCAGGGGGUCGCAAAGAGUCGGACACGACUGAGCGACUGGACUGACUGAGGAUUCAUUUUGACACCUCCGUCUCGCGUGCUGCGCCUUCAUUUCUCAAAGCCUAACUGCGCCAGUCCUCCAGAUCUCCGCACGGCGUCCCUUCCCCUGAGACCCCGCCCUUGUCUCCCGGCUCAACCCACUGAAGGCCUUGCGGGCCCGGCCCGGCCCGGCGCCCCGCCCCCUCAAACGUCGCAGUGCUGCAGGGAAAGGGGGCGGGGCUUGGCGGGGGUGGGAUUUGUCCUUCCGCUGUAGGGCCAAUCGGUGAGGCUCCCCCUUGCCGAAACAGGGGAGCGGGGCGCAAAGACAGGACAAGUGUUUUCCCCUUCUCCGCCACGUCCCAACUACUGACGCGCGCCCACUCCUCAGGUUCCGAUUGGGCAGGAGGCUUACCCCCGCAGCGGUCUAUUAAGCCUAUUGGUCGAGCCCGCUUUGGGGGCGGGGCUUGCGCGCUCCCCGCCCUCGCCUGCGCCGCGGCGCAAGGGGCGGGGCGCGCCGCCGCCGUCCGUGUUUCCGCCGCCGCCGGCUCCUGCGCGUUGGGCGGGGGAGGAGUCGGAGGCGGAGAAGAAGGCGGCGGCGGCGGCGGGUGGAGGACCGAGCGCCGUCCUCGCUCCGGAGCCGCUUCUCAGCUCGAACUUCAAACAGCAUGGAAGGACUAAGGUGAAAAGUGCAUCUCCCACUUCCCCUUCUAGUUCUGCCUUCGUUCUGAGAGUCAGCUGUUCAGUAAACUUCCUCUUUAUGUGAUUAUUUCUGGAGCAUGUAUUCCUAGAAAUUGAAUUGCUAGAUUAAAAACAGUAUGCAUUUAAGUUUUGAUAACCUAUUAAAUUUCUCCCUACUUAGUACUCUUUUCCAAGUUAAUCUUAUGCAUUCUACAAAUGAACUUUAGACUCAACUUGCAAAUUAGAUAAAAGAUCCUUUAGGUGUUUUGAGUGAGGUUAUAUUGAAAUUUUAGAUUAAUAUGGAGCAUAUUGUACUUUGUGAUACUGAAUCUCUCCCUUCUGAUAGAUAUGUAUAGCAUGUCUCUUAAUUCACAUCUUGCUUAAGGAAAGUUUUAUAAUUUUAUUCCAUAAAACUCUAUGGCAUUCCAUCUUGGUAGCUCUGGUGGAUAGAAACUUUAAGUAACAUUUAUUUCUCACCCCCCAGUUAUACCAAAGCUUU
rnacentral:lncRNA from 1 species